rnacentral:rRNA from 1 species
UGGGUGACCUGCCCUCAGCUCUGGGAUAAGCCCGAGAAAUUGGGUCUAAUACCGGAUAUGACUCCUCAUCGCGUGGUGGGGGGUGGAAAGCUUUAUUGUGGUUUGGAUGGACUCGCGGUCUAUCAGCUUGUUGGUGAGGUAAUGGCUCACCAAGGCGACGACGGGUAGCCGGCCUGAGAGGGUGACCGGCCACACUGGGACUGAGACACGGCCCAGACUCCUACGGGAGCAG